GACGAACGCUGGCGGCGUGCUUAACACAUGCAAGUCGAACGGGCCUUGUCCCCUUUUUUUUUGGGGGUGGGGUUAGUGGCGAACGGGUGAGUAACACGUGAGUAACCUGCCCCUCACUUCUGGAUAACCGCUUGAAAGGGUGGCUAAUACGGGGUGUUCUGGCCUGCUCGCAUGGGUGGGUUUGGAAAGAUUCGACCGGUUUUGGUUGUUUUGGUGGGGGAUGGGCUCGCGGCCUAUCAGCUUGUUGGUGGGGUGAUGGCCUGCCAAGGCCUUGACGGGUAGCCGGCCUGAGAGGGUGGGCGGUCACACUGGGACUGAGACACGGCCCAGACUCCUACGGGAGGCAGCAGUGGGGAAUAUUGCACAAGGGGCGCAAGCCGGAUGCAGCGACGCCGCGUGAGGGAUGGAGGCCUUCGGGUUGUGAACCUCUUUCGCCAGUGAAGAAGGUCCUGCUCUUUGUGGUGGGGUUGACGGUAGCUGGGUUAAUGAAGCGCCGGCUAACUACGUG
rnacentral:rRNA from 1 species